AACCGCCGUAUACCGAACGGUACGUACGAUGGUGUGAGAGGACGGGGGUUAAUCGCCCCCUCCUACUCGUUU
rnacentral:misc_RNA from 1 species